CUCUCCAAUCAAUAGUAGCCAUAGCCAUGCUUUGUCCUCAACUCCGGUACUCUACUAUGAGGGAAUGGCGCAAUAUCAACCUUGCAGAACAUCACUCUGCUCAUUACUACAAUAUCAACCAAUAAAUCCCUCCCCUCAUUUCACAAAUCAGCCUUGCAAGGGAGAAUCCAAAUUCAUGAAUAGAGUAUACACAACAUUCACCAAAUCUCUUCAUCACCAUUUUAGCAGACCAGCAAAAGAUCACGCCCAUUCAAGGCUUUGUGGACCAAGGAGAUUAGCACUGCUUUCCCAAGACAAGUUUAUGUGAUUAUGAAUCUUCAGGCUUUGCCUAAUCAGGUUGGUUGGCUGGCCGGUGCUGACGGGAUGGAGCUGAGGCUAGGGUUCAAUUUCUAUUUGGACUUUCGUUGUAGCAAUAACUCUUAUUUGUCUUUUGUUUUCUCAACGUAAGACUUUCAUGUUAGAUUUAGAAUGACAUCUCCCAUCGAGCUUAAACACUUAACUCUUAGUUUUAUCUUAAUGAAUGUUGGUUAUCAGAAACACAAAACAAAACUUGUGAUCCA